UGUAGAUCACACAGUUUAAUGGAAAGUGGGGCUAAUGGCCUGUAGCCUUAAUAUGGAGGAGAAACAGGCGCCUUGGUGCCCACCAGCUACUGGAAAUUGUCAUCACUCAAACUGCUGGUGGAGAUGGUACUUGGUCGAGGACGGGUUACAAGGAUUUGAAAUAUCGUUCUGAGAGGACUGCAAAACAUGAGACUAGCCGGAGUCAUCUGGAGCAUGCUGUAAAAUUGGGCUUACUUGGAAGGGUAAAUGUUCCUGCCCAAAUUGACAACAUACAGUUUAAAUUUCGAUUCUAUUCAAUUUUAUUUAUAUAGCACCAAUAUAGGCAAUACAGGCACUCUAUUGAGCAGCAUAACAAACAGGUGGAGGAAAACAGGUACGUGCUCAGUUGGAUCAAAACAUGUAUUAAACUUUGUGGAAAAUGUGAAACAGCACUGAGGGGCCACAGCGAAAAUUCAGAUGCAUUUUCAAGACUAUGUUUAAGGGUAAUUCGAGGCUUCAGAGGCACUAUGACGCUCAGCGCAUCAGUAAAGGGACAUCCAGCACUGUACAGAAUGAAAAAAUAAUCAUAAACAACACGUAUGAUGACAUCUGAGUCAGAGAGGAAUUUUUACACCUUGAAGAGGAUAAAAACGUACACUCUCAAUAGGCUACAAUGGGACAGCCGAAACCAGCUGAUUCAAAAAACCUGCCGUGCCUCCUCAAGUGAGCCCUUAGCUUUAGUGAGUGAAAGCAUAUUACAUUUGCCUUUAUGGUGAUGGUCCAUGCAAUGGCCAUUUUGUUGUGUUGAACUGAUUAAUAUAGAUGGUGACAUGUGUCAGUGUGUCCAUGCUUAUCUAUUAUGGUUGUUAUCACGAUGUUGUCAUAGAAUGGAUCUGUAGCUCUAAAAAGUUGUCUGUGUGCUUCGUUGUGGCCAAUCAUUUGUUCUGAGCUUGGUUGUGUUGGCUUUAUCAUCCUUGAAGUUUGCUUAAUGCGAGACUUGAACGACAUGUCCUGAUCAAUUGGGCCCCAAUAACUUCAGUUUUCUUCAGAGUGUAACAUUAGAAAAUUACAGGUCAUCCAGAUUUUUACAUCCUGAAGCCACAUUUGAAGUUUAGCUAAACGACUAGUUUUAUCUGGCUUGAUCGAUAUAAUUGGGUAUCAUCCAUCAGUGUUUCCUGAUAAUAUUGCCUAAAGGAAACAUAUAUAAGGUAAACAGGAUUGGUCCCAGCACAGAACCAGCUUAGAGCGGUUCCUUUAAUGCCAAUGAAAUGUUCCAGUCUCUGUAACAGGAUCUGAUGGUCAAUGGUAUCAAAUGCAGCACUAAGAUCUAAUAAAACCAGUACAGAGACAAGUCCUUUGUUUAAUACAAUCAGGAGGUCACUAGUAAUUUUCACCAGUGCUGUCUCUGUGCUAUGACAAACUCCUGACUGAAAAUCAUCAAAUAAACUCUUGCUCUGUAGAAAGUGACACAAUUGUUUGGCGACUGCUUUUUCAAGGAUCUGAGAGAGAAAUGGAAGGUUAGAUAUAGGUCAAUAGUUGCUAAAAAAAAAAAACCUGGAUAAAGAGUGAGAUUUAAAGAUUAAACCAGAUUCUUCCAGAUUGUUGGAAUUCCAUUUCCAUUAAAUCCAGAAUAGAAUUUAAAAUCUUUCUGCUCCCCCACAACCCUGUAUGCAGGAUAAACGGUUGACGAUGGAUGGAUGGAUCCUUCUGCUCACCUAGAAAGCUGGCUCAGUCUUGUGCUUUCUCGUCCCUCUCCUCCUGUCACUUUCUGCAGUUGUGUCUGGCUCUGGAGCUGUGGAUCUGUGGCUGCGAGUGACCUGCUGCCGCCGUGUUCCUGCACAAAAUCCGCUGCUACAAUUAUUUCUAGUCCUAUUAUUUUGAUUUUAUCAUUGAUAUUACUGUUACAAUCAGUACCAUAAUUCAUUUUCUGUACCAGGACCAGGAGCAGGAAUACUACACUCCAGUGGCGUCGUAUUAUUUUUUCAACCUAAUUGUUGUCUCAUUUGUGGUUUGAUUAACAGUAAAUUCAUUAAAUUCAAUGCACCAUAGCGCUAUUUUUCAGCUAAGUUAUUGUAGCUGUCAUAGCCAUUGAGCACACCAGCAAGAGGAUGAGGUGAUGCGGCCAACAUGUAGGGAGCUAUGAUUACAUGUAUGAUGGAUUGUCCCCUAUUAAAUAGCAUUAUAGUAUUUUAA